UACGUAGGGGGCAAGCGUUGUCCGGAAUCAUUGGGCGUAAAGAGCGCGUAGGCGGCCCUGUAAGUCCGCUGUGAAAGUCAAGGGCUCAACCCUUGGAUGCCGGUGGAUACUGCAGGGCUAGAGUCCGGAAGAGGCGAGUGGAAUUCCUGGUGUAGCGGUGAAAUGCGCAGAUAUCAGGAGGAACACCGAUGGCGAAGGCAGCUCGCUGGGACGGUACUGACGCUGAGGCGCGAAAGCAUGGGUAGCGAACAGG
rnacentral:rRNA from 1 species